rnacentral:rRNA from 1 species
GCUAACUUCCAUACCAUGUUUAAAAUACCAAUUCUCGUCCGAUCACUGAAGUCAAACAACGUUGAACACGAUUAGUACUUGGAUGGGUGAUCGCUUGGGAAUAUCGUGAUGUUGGCA